GAUGAACGCUGGCGGCGUGCCUAAUACAUGCAAGUCGAGCGAACAGACGAGGCGCUUGCUCCUCUGACGUUAGCGGCGGACGGGUGAGUAACACGUGGAUAACCUACCUAUAAGACUGGGAUAACUUCGGGAAACCGGAGCUAAUACCGGAUAAUAUAUUGAACCGCAUGGUUCAAUAGUGAAAGACGGUUUUGCUGUCACUUAUAGAUGGAUCCGCGCCGCAUUAGCUAGUUGGUAAGGUAACGGCUUACCAAGGCGACGAUGCGUAGCCGACCUGAGAGGGUGAUCGGCCACACUGGAACUGAGACACGGUCCAGACUCCUACGGGAGGCAGCAGUAGGGAAUCUUCCGCAAUGGGCGAAAGCCUGACGGAGCAACGCCACGUGAGUGAUGAAGGUCUUCGGAUCGUAAAACUCUGUUAGUAGGGAAGAACAAAUGUGUAAGUAACUAUGCACGUCUUGACGGUACCUAAUCAGAAAGCCACGGCUAACUACGUG
rnacentral:rRNA from 1 species